UGGCGGACGGGUGAGGAAUACAUCGGAAUCUACUCUGUCGUGGGGGAUAACGUAGGGAAACUUACGCUAAUACCGCAUACGACCUACGGGUGAAAGCAGGGGAUCUUCGGACCUUGCGCGAUUGAAUGAGCCGAUGUCGGAUUAGCUAGUUGGCGGGGUAAAGGCCCACCAAGGCGGCGAUCCGUAGCUGGUCUGAGAGGAUGAUCAGCCACACUGGAACUGAGACACGGUCCAGACUCCUACGGGAGGCAGCAGCG
rnacentral:rRNA from 1 species